AACAAACAUAACAUCUAAAACACUUUACCAUAACAUUUACACACAUUACCAAAAUUAAUCAUAACAAAACAGAUUGAGAAAAAAAAACAUCUUUUUGAUAAAUUUCAUUAAAAAAUAAGUAAAGCUGUCAAUAAAACAGAAUUUAGAAGAAGUAAAUUACAUUAUUUAACAGGAAACAAAACUAAAACACUAAAAUGAUGUCAGAGCACAGGUUAAAAGGUAUCAUUAAAAAAAUCGUCAAGGCUAUAAUAUGCCCUGGAUAAUAAAAGUGAUUUUAAUUCCUUUUUGAAUCUCUUAACUUCUAAAAUUUGUCUGAUACAUAGAGGAACAUGGUUGUAAAUUUUUUUGCUAAGGUAUAUAAGUGAGUUCUUGGUGAGGGAGGAUGUAGGGAUUGGUAAGGAAAAAUCGUUAACCUGGCGAGUCAUAUGACCAGUGUUAGAGGGAGGUUUA